rnacentral:rRNA from 1 species
GACGAACGCUGGCGGCGUGCCUUACGCAUGCAAGUCGAGCGGGGUACAGGGCUUCGGCUCUGUACCUAGCGGCAGACGGCUGAGUAACACGUAAGCAACCUGCCCUCCAGUGGGGAAUAACCCCUCGAAAGAGGGGCUAAUACCGCAUACGUUCCCGGAGGGGAGUUCUCCGGGAGGAAAGCCUUCGGGCGCUGGAGGAGGGGCUUGCGGCCUAUCAGGUAGUUGGUGGGGUAACGGCCUACCAAGCCUACGACGGGUAGCUGGUCUGAGAGGAUGAUCAGUCAGACGGGGACUGAGACACGGCCCCGACUCCUACGGGAGGCAGCAGCGAGGAAUCUUGCGCAAUGGGCGAAAGCCUGACGCAGCAACGCCGCGUGGGGGAAGAAGGCUUUCGAGUCGUAAACCCCUUUUGCAGGGGAAGAAGAUCUGACGGUACCCUGCGAAUAAGCCACGGCUAACUACGUGCCAGCAGCCGCGGUAAUACGUAGGUGGCAAGCGUUGUCCGGAUUUACUGGGCGUGAAGGGCGUGUAGGCGGUCCAUUAAGUUUGGGGUGAAAUCUCCCGGCUCAACUGGGAGCGGCCCCCGGAUACUGAUGGACUAGAGGGGGGUAGAGGAAGGCGGAAUUCCCGGAGUAGCGGUGAAAUGCGUAGAUACCGGGAGGAACACCGGUGGCGAAGGCGGCCUUCUGGGCCUACCCUGACGCUGAGGCGCGAAAGCGUGGGGAGCAAACCGGAUUAGAUACCCGGGUAGUCCACGCCCUAAACGUUGGACACUAGGUGUGGGGGGUAUCGACCCCCUCCGUGCCGCAGCUAACGCUUUAAGUGUCCCGCCUGGGAAGUACGGCCGCAAGGCUA